CACAGCCGUUUCUGUUCUAAACUCGGCUCCACAUGCUCUCAGGUCAAUCACGUCACUCUGAUGGAGUAAAGGUCUAAAGGAAGGGAGAUUCACGUUUAGAAAACAGGCAUCGCCUUGUCUGGUGAGUUCCAAUUCGGCAUCUUGUGGAGACCACACACCCGAGCAAUUGGCAUAGAUGACCACUGGGUGGCACUAGAUAACAAGGCUGAGGAGCCAUUCCCCCAUACACGAACUGGUUACCAGAUGUUUUGAAUGCAGUAUUCACCGUAAAGAAGCAAAGAAAGCUAUUCCUGGUGACUCCAGCUUCCUGCCCAUGUGGAGGCAAAGUAGCUAAUCCUGCUAGUGGGUACAGACUGACUUUCUUUUGUCAGAUCACCUUUUGCUCAGUGUGGCAGUCAGAACCACUACUACACCUGAGGGGAACCUCCACUGAUCCUCUACCUGAGUUAUUGAAAGCUGCCUUUUGAGCAUCAGGAGCAUCAGCAAAAAAACAAAUAUGUAUUUCACUGAGUUUACUUUUUCUGGUUUUGUUUGUUUGUUUGUUUGUUGUUGUUUUAAAAAUAAUGGUUUAUGUGCUUAAAUAUAAGAUUGUAAUUGUACACUGCUCUAGCUUACAACUUGAUAGCAGUAAUGAUUAUUUGUUUAAUGAGGGCUGGAUGUAGGUACUAGACUGAAUAUGUAAUCUACUGUUCUUCAACUGUGAGCCACAGCAGAUGGUUUCAGUCUAUGCAGAUUAAGAGCAAAGUAACACAUUUUGUAUUUCCAGAAUAAAUAGGAAUAUCUUAACACCAAUUACAGAUCAUGCAAAAUGGGAAAGACAGCAUUGAAAGUGCUGAACAGCUAGUGAUUUGAGCAGAUUUUGAGAUUAUAAAUAUUACAUUUGGCACCUUAGAAUCAUCCAUACCACGAACGGAUGAAAAACUGAGUGAGAAAAGAAUGAAUCUAUGAUAGGACUGGGAUUUGUCUCCCCUUCCCUUUAUGCCACUCUUCCACUUAAGCCUUUACAGUAAUUUCCAAAAUCCUUUUUUUUCAAGGACCGAAAUACACAAUUAGAACUAUUUUUGUUUCUGGGGUAGUUUCUCUGAAUAAAGCCCUUCUUACCUCUUAUCUUUUUUCUCAGGAGCUUAAAUCUAAAUAUUAAACAAGAGAGGACAGAAGUACAUAUGGGACAGAUGGGGUAGC